rnacentral:lncRNA from 1 species
UCGUUUCUUCUUCCUUUUCAGCGAAACCCAAAAACCAAAGACCCAGAACAGCGCCAACAAACGACAACAAAAGAAGCAGCGAGGAACAGAGAGAGUACACUGUGAUUUCUUUGUCUUCUUCUUCAACGUCCCUCUCAAAUUGUACAGAAAUCCAGCAGCAACUUUAUCUCUUAGAGAUUUUUGAAUUUCAAAUUCGAAUUUGAUUCUACUCUUUCAUCCUUUCCCCCCAAAAUAGCCCUAAAUUCCUCCUAUAUAAACUCCUUUUAUUCUUCAUUAUUAGAGGUUGGGGGAUAGAGCCGGAAAGUAGAAGGGGAUAAAGAGGGACAACUUACAUUGAGUUGGAAAGAAAAAAAAAAGAAAAAUAGAGUUGGAAAGGAGGCAUUAGGAAGAAACAGAGAGAAAUAGUAAGGAAAUAGCUAGGGAACAACACUUAUACACAUAGAAAAAUACAUACGAG